UGGAAAAUCCUCCUGUUGCGAUCUUUCCAUAUAGUAUAUAAGGCUGAGAUCCAAAUAAUAGUAAAAGCUUUCAUAGAAUUCUUUGAGAAACCGCCUAGAGCGCAAAACUGAUUAGCAUGAGUAUAUAAAUUGUCAUUGAGAACCGUAACCAAACCUAACCAAUCCGAUAGCAUAAGCCAUAAUCGACCAUAAUAAUCGCAUUGGAAAAACAAAUGAUCC
rnacentral:lncRNA from 1 species